GUGGGUAUGGCUCGGUAGUAGAGCGCACGCUUAGCAUGCACGAGGUCCUGGGUUCAAUUCCCGGUACCUCCA
rnacentral:tRNA from 1 species